CGGAGACGGCCGUCCGUUCUAAAGUGAAAAGGGGAGUGCGGGGAGCGCACUAAUUGCGAGCUUUGCUCAGUUUUCGAGCUUAAGGGGGGCUCCGAUUAGGGUUUUUCUUUGGCGAUGUUCGUCCCUCCUGCUGCUGCUGCUGCCCGGCUUCAACCUCCAUUUGGCCAUGGCGUUUCCCUCAUUGGGUUACUUCUGCUUCGCCCGCCGGAGGAAAGACUGGGUUUUUCACAAAAAAGGUCCAGUGACAGGAAUGGUUCGAGGUGCAAUCGUGCCCAGUGUGAAGUGAACAUGGCGCAUGAAAGGUGGUGUUUAUUAUUGGGGAAAUAUAUGGAUUGAUGUAAUCCGGGUUUGAAAUGGGGAAUGAAGCCAGUGGUCCGUGUAGCUUAGUUCGGUGGUGGAUUAUCUUGUUAAUAUUCUUUGUAGAUUGUUUGUCCUUCAAUUUUUUUGCCUAGAAAAGGAAUGGUGCUCCGAAUUGAAGUCUUUAUCUUUUACUGUUGCUCCCCCCUUUUUAGAUGGGUUUUUACAUUUUUCAAGUGAACCUUAUAUUUGUAUGAAUAUCUACCUCAUCUAUUGAGCCGAAUCAGGUGGACUCUGUGGAGCCUUUUGUACUUUGAUUAGCGAGAUGUGGCAUGGAAAUCAAGUGUAUGAUUAUGUCUAUACUAUGAUGGCGUGCGGCUUUUUAAUCUAAUUAGUGUAAUUCGCAAGAACCUGUCUUAUUAGAUCUCUAGUCUCUGAAUAACAGCUGGAAGCGGUCUAGCAAUGCUAACUUCUCUUGUUCUUCCUUAAUGUGGUUGUGAGUUUGGAUCCAUUUAUAAUCUACAUAGAGCAAGUCAAUGAUGCAUAUCGACAUGGUGCCUAUGAGGUGAUGGUUGGUGUUUGACUGGUGUUGCCUCUUAUAAUAUACAGUGGUUUAGUAUCUAUUGUUUGGCCAUGAUAUACUAAUUCUCCUGGUUGAUUACUUAAAUGACACUUGUAAAACUUCAUGAGUAUUUCUGAUGGACGAAAGCGUCAUUCUUCGAUCGGAUGGCUACAUAGACUGCAUUGAGUUGAUAUUUUAUUGAUUUAUGGUGUAUUCUAUGGGCCAUCUUUGAUAUGAUGUAGCCAUUGAUUGUGUUGUAUGUACAUGGAUAGGGAUUUACGGAGGAGCUGGAAAAGGUUACCUGGAUCAAACAUAUCCUCCUCAAUUGCUUCAAUGUAAUUCUGUGGCGACUUAACUUAAAUUCAGUCAAAACUUAAAAAAAAUGGGCUGGUGGGUGGCUGUAGUCUGUCCAUAGAAUUGAAGAGAACAUGGAUCCUAUUCCUGAUGUUCACGAUCUGUGUGUCAUGGUUCAGCAAGAUAAUAAUUCCCAUAAAGGUGCAGACUCUCGUUCCUUGCUGAUCUCCUAUAAACCCUUGCUAAUGGCAGGCCAGAGGUAAGUUCCUUCACGAAAGGCUGAUCAGAAAGAUGUUCCUACCUUUCUUAUAUCUGGGUCACUUCUAUAGGAGUUGUGCUGGUCAUUUCUAUCAUUUGUUGACAAAUGAUGAUUGGGAAUGAAGCAGAAUACUUUCUGAUCAAUAUUUUAUUUACAGUGAGCAGCACGUUGCACUGUCAUACUAGCAUGUUGUUAUUGAGCCUCACUGUUCUUAUUUUGAAGAAACUAAUUAUUGAGUCUCUGCAACACUAAUCCUCAUGGUAUCAAGAUGUGCUUUAAAACGCAGUUUUCCUGAGAAAUAUUCCUUAAAAUGCUCUGCAACACUAAUUCUUCUAAACAGGGCAGGAGAUUCUGGAGUUACAAGGCUUAGCACAGGACUGAUUUCAGCAUCCAUUCUCGGGCUAUGGAAGGUUGCUAUUGAGAUCCUCUCUUUAAUGGCAUUAACAGUCCCGCGAUGCUCUAUACUGCGGUAAAUUCUGUUGCUGACCAUUUGCCAAAAUAAUGAAAUCACUUCAGAGGUAAGAAAAGUAUCUUUUCAAAGUAAAUAAUUCUUUGAAUGAAUAAACAAAGUGUGCUCCAGCUUAAAUAAAUUGCUAUUCUUUGCGAGGAUAGAAUGCACGGACACUUGUACCGGUAAGCAUGUAUGUCAUAAAAAAACGCCUGAAUGCCUGUAUACUGCUAGUGUUAAGAAAUGUCAUUUAAUUAAUAAGCUUAUGGCAAUUCAAGUGGGUUUCUGUGGAAUGAUUUAUUUUUUUGCUGGGAUUUCUUCUUACUGUAAAAGAAUAUUCGGUUAGAAUUUUUAGCUUUUCUUGGGUAGAUUUUCGAAGCAAAAUCUGAUCAAAUAUUAUUUUUGAUUCACUUAUUUAUCUGAUUCAGAUUUCUUAUGUGGACAGAAAAAAUUUUUCUUGAAUGAACUGCUUCAUUUAUGACAAUCAUGUCUCAUAAAAAAGAAUUAUGAUAUUUAUCACGCAUAUAUUAUCAAAAUGAGUUUUAUCAAUUUACUGCCCUAUUGUUCAAGCAUGCCAAAGAAGGGAAAAAUUCUUCUACCUGCCAUGAGGGGAGAAAAUUAUAGUCCAACUUCACUAGUCAUGACAACGUUAGGCUCAUGACACUUAUGUCAACCAAAAACAAUGAAUUAUCAAAAUGAAUGUGUUACCGAGAGAAUAUUCAUUAGAUAGGGCACAUAGUUAAAAUAAUUAAGGCUGAGAUAAUUUAUCCAAUAAACUUCUAUUUUGCUGGUAGUUUAUCUCUAAGUCGGAAAUUUCUAGACCACUGGGGUCUUUUUAUAUAGCACUUACUUUUCUUUCUUAAUCAUGGUACCCGAUAUCUCGAUAGCGAGAUCCUGUUUUAAUAGGUAUUUCAAGUAGGAUUUUAGUCAUUGUAAGGCAAGUAAUUAUUAACUCACCGUUUCAUUUCCUUAUAGACAAAAUUAAGGCCAAAUUUGCUGCUAUGUCCCCACGGCCACUUAGACCAUGUGUUUGUUUCAACUCUUCAACUUCACCUGUAACAAGAUAGGCCAUGUCACUCAUCAUUUUUGGUUGGGUAACUCAAGUACUUUGGGAAAUUAAUUUGCUCCAAAGAGGCUCUUUGUGUUAGCCAGAAGAAUGUGGAGGUCUCGGUUUACAAAUCGGAAUAUGCUAACAAAGGCCAUUAAAUCAAAAGCAGCAUUGGCUUUAACAACUGAUAAAAACAUCUUUUGUCCAACGAAUGCAAAAUAUGGCAAUUUUUUCUAGCAGAAUAACAGAUCUUCAGGAAGCUGCUCUUCCAUUUGGAGAGGUCUUCAAUGGUGUCGUCCAACUCUUAAGGUGGGCCCAUAUCAUCAAAUAGGUUCUCUAUCAUCACAACAACAGUUGGAAGUGCUCUGGAAUUUAUGUCGCGGUUCAGCAAGAUGUUCUUUUUAUUGUUCUCCUGGACUGGUAAUAAGCCUAGCUACUAGUUCCAAUAAAUGUGCGGACUCUAGCUCCUCAC